rnacentral:rRNA from 1 species
UACGUAGGGUGCAAGCGUUGUCCCGGGAAUUAUUGGGCGUAAAGAGCUCGUAGGCGGUCUGUUGCGUCGGCUGUGAAAACCCGGGGCUCAACUCCGGGCCUGCAGCCGAUACGGGCAGACUAGAGUUCGGCAGGGGAGACUGGAAUUCCUGGUGUAGCGGUGAAAUGCGCAGAUAUCAGGAGGAACACCGGUGGCGAAGGCGGGUCUCCUGGGCCACUGCUGACGCUGAGAAGCGAAAGCAUGGGGAGCGAACAGGAUAGAU